GAUCCUGGCUCAGGAUGAACGCUAGCUACAGGCUUAACACAUGCAAGUCGAGGGGCAGCAUGUUGGUUGCUUGCAACCAAUGAUGGCGACCGGCGCACGGGUGAGUAACGCGUAUCCAACCUACCCUUGUCCAUCGGAUAACCCGUCGAAAGGCGGCCUAACACGAUAUGCGGUUCACAGCAGGCAUCUAACGUGAACGAAAUGUAAAGGAGAAGGAUGGGGAUGCGUCUGAUUAG
rnacentral:rRNA from 1 species